AACUCUAUUGUCAUUAACCUUUUAUUUUCUUUUCAUCAUAUGUUUUUUUUUUAAUUAUUCGUAAAUAUUAUUUGAUUUAAUUAUUUCUCACUACAAAUACUUAAAAUGUCUUUGAUAACUCGUACAGAUGUUACUGCGGUUAAAUUGCAUAAAAACUCGAUCUUCGCCGGUAUCGGCUGUUCUAUGCAUGUAUUUGACAAUAUUAACAAAAGGUUGUUACAAAAAAUUAUUUGUUUAAAUGGACAAAAAAUCUAUGGUAUUGUGCCUUGUGAAUUUUCAAAUAAAAUAAUAGUAUUUGGCGGAAAACAGUUUACUGUGUUGUCUGAGGGUGAGGAGUUGACGCGAUUGUUUAACCCUGUGGUGUCUAAUGAUUGGCUACAUUCUGCUCUAUGGGUUAAAGAUCAAUCUAUAGCAUUGCUAACUGCUCAUAAUGUUGUCCAGAUUUGGAACACUGCAAUGCAAAGUCUAAGUAAACAGUAUGUGAGCAGAGACAACUCUAUAUUAUACAGUGGUUUGCUGUUACCACUGCAGGAUGGUGUGCUGGUACUUGCUGGCACUGUGUUCUCAGAAGUUAUAGUGCAUGCGUGUCAAGUUGAGACACCUCUACAUCAUUUAUCAGGACACAAGGGUGUUAUAUUUUCAAUAUCAUGUGACCAACAUAGAGGCCUAAUAGUUACAACAUCUGAUGACAGGUCUGUCCGUCUGUGGAGUGUAAAUAGUGAAGAUUCAAACUCAUCAAACGGAUACUACACCAUAGAAUUAUGGCAGAAGGCGAGCAUAACAUGCAUUCAUGAAUUAUACGGACAUUCUGCCAGAGUUAUGAGAAAUUGUAUUACAAAAGACUGGGUGGUGUCUGUUGGUGAAGACUCGGCAAUAUGCUUCUGGGAUUUUCAAGGGACUUUAUUAAGGAAGUCGGUAACACACCAGAAUGCUGGUAUAUGGUCUGUAGAUGCUAAUAAUGAUUAUUUAGUCACUGGUGGUGGUGAUUGUGGUUUAGUCAUUCAUCCACUAGCCAUAGCUACUGAAUAUGGUCAAAAUGAAGCUCUUAAUUUAGAAGUAAGGUCACCUAAGAACAUUCUUUUUACUGCUAGAAGAAAUAUUGUUAUUUUAAGUGAAUAUAAUGAAGUAAUCCAUUACGAUUUAAAAAGAAAAGUAAAGACUGUUGGAAGAUUGGAACAUGAAUCUACUUAUAAAUUAAUAGAUAUCUCCUCUUGCAAACAAAUGGUAGCAGUUGCCGAUAUGUGUGGAAAUUUAGAUGUUUUUAUAGAAAAUUGCAAAGGUGAUGCACUGCUGUGUAAUGUCAUAAAAACGAAACUGCAAAUUGGGAAAAUACUGUCAAUGCAAUGGGCAGGCAACAGGCAUCUGAUUAUGUGUUCUGAGAAUGGCCAAAUAAGUGUUUUGGCUUCGAGAGAAAAAAAUACUGAAUUGUGUGAACAAUUUAUAUUGCCUGCUUGCAAAGAAAGAUGGUUAACGGCAGCUGAUGUUGAUACUAAACAUGGGAUUUUGGUUGUAGGCGACAGAUGUGGAAAUGUACAUGUGUACGACAAGAACAAUAAAGCUCCAAUUAAGACUUUUAGUAAAGUCCAUGGUAGAUAUGGGCCUACAUCUAUUACUAUUAAAAGCAAUGAGUUUAUGACCACAGGAAGAGAUGGUACGAUAAAAUAUUUCAGUCUAAACAAUGCACAUAAAAGUUUAGCUAAAUAUAUGAGUUCAAAAGAUUUAGAAUUUCAAUGGGUUGAAAAAUUUAUAGACAAUAAUGAGAAUGUGGUUUGUGGUUUUCAAGAAAGAACAUUUGUUGUGUACGAUAUUAAAAGUAAAAUAAAACAACUAAACGUAGCAUGUGGGGGAGGGCACAGGUCCUGGGAUGUGGUGCGUUACAUAGACAAAGUGGACAAUGACUAUGAUGAAUUUAUAAUGCUUGUGUACCUUAAGAAAGGAGAUAUACAUAUUAAUAAAUUUCAAAUGAGUAAAGUUGUUUCUAGAAAUGUUAUAAUUGGAUCGCAUUCUAAAGAAAUUGAUUGUUUAUGUGUGCAUAAGACGAAUUUAGAUAAUUCUAUUACAUUCUAUAUAUCUGGUGGCGAAGAUACCACAUUGAGGAUAUCGUCAAUUGACAGAGAGAACAAAUUUGGCGAGGAACUUAUUUUUAAACAGUUAUCGAGUGUGAGAACUUUGAAAAUUCAUUGUUUGGAAGCUAAUAAAAUUCUUUUGGUAUCCGCUGGAGGUAGAGCACAGAUGUGUAUAAAAUUGAUCGAAUUUACCAAAGAAAACAAUGAAAUUGUGCUUAAAACGCAAGAGUGUGUUGAUUACAUGAUAAAAGGAACAGAAAGGGAACGUAAAGGGAAACAAACGUGGCGUGAUUGCUCGAUAGAUUUCGAUCCAGAAACGAGAAUAAUGGACGUGGAUAUUGUAGGAUUUAAUGAAAAUAAUUUAAUCAUUGUUGCCGGCUGUUCCGAUGCCAGCCUUAGAACUUUCAGUUUCGAUUUGGAAACUGCUGCUUUUAAAACUGUUGCAGUACAGAAAUGUUUUAAAACUUGUAUUUUAAAAACGAAACAUCUUAAGUUUGGCGAUAAAAACUUGAUCGCAACUUGUACGACUAGAGGGGAGGUGACAUUUUGGAGUAUUUCUAACGCCAACAUAGAAACAUUGGAUUUGAAGCCAAUUUUUACAACAAUAACUAACAAGUCGGGCAUAAAUAGUUUCGAUUCAGUAAUUGUAACGGAUAACCAAAUAUUAAUAGCGACUGGAGGGGAUGAUAAUGCAAUACAUUUGAAGUUAUUAGAAUUUAACAAAGUAGACUUUGAAAUAAUUGAUAGUUGGUCGUGGGAUAAGUUUCAUUGUUCGCAAAUCACUGGACUGCGGUUCAUCGAUGAUUUCUUAUUGUCAACGUCUAUAGAUCAAAGAAUAACGUUGUGUAGAUGGUGUGUAGGCAUUAAAGGUAUCACAUGUGUGUUUGUAGCUCAAACACUAAGUGACAUCUCUGAUAUACAGGGCAUGGAUAUUCUUGAUAACUCAAGCGCCGAAAUUACUGUUUGCGUGUUCGGCAAAGGCAUGGAAGUGAUCAGGAUCCCCAAACGUGACCAAUAGUAGCAGUCGACGCUGCGGGAUGUUUUGUGGCACGUGUAUGAAGAGCUUGACAACAUUUUAUGGGACCGACGCUGAGGCAGGUGGUCGAGCCAGUGACGUUGGGCGAGGGUCCCCACUGGGACGCCGAGGAACAAGCGCUGUACUUCAUAAGCACCAAUGAUUACACCAUAAAUAAAUAUGUGCCAGCCAGCGGGAAAC